rnacentral:rRNA from 1 species
GACAGAGGCCUCGAGCGUUAGGCGGAAUCACUGGGCUUAAAGCGUGUGUAGGCGGACCUCUAAGUACCUUGUGAAAUCCCACGGCUCACCCGUGGAACCGCUGGGUAUACUGGGGGUCUUGGGCCACUCAGGGGCGACUGGAACAAGCGGUGGAGCGGUGAAAUGCGUAGAGAUCGGAAAGAACACCAACGGCGAAAGCACUCUGCUGGGCCGACACUGACACUGAGAGACGAAAGCUAGGGGAGCGAAUGGG